rnacentral:rRNA from 1 species
UACGUAGGGGGAGAGCGUUGUCCGGAAUUAUUGGGCGUAAAGAGCGUGUAGGCGGUUCGGUAAGUCUGCCGUGAAAUCCUGGGGCUCAACCCCGGGCGUGCGGUGGAUACUGCCGGGCUAGAGUGCGGAAGAGGCGAGUGGAAUUCCUGGUGUAGCGGUGAAAUGCGCAGAUAUCAGGAGGAACACCUAUUGCGAAGGCAGCUCGCUGGGACGUACCUGACGCUGAGACGCGAAAGCGUGGGGAGCAAACAGG